rnacentral:misc_RNA from 1 species
AAUGGGCCAUCUUUUAUUCCAAGAAAGUCGUUUAAGAGUUCCAUCAGUACAAGUAUAGACAAAGAAGGGGAGGAAAAUACAGUACAAAAAGGAAAUCUAGAAAAUUUCUGUACCAGAUAUUGACCUAAUUUACUGCCUAACCCUAGACCCUCCUUCCCUCCCCCUCUCAGAUGAUCUGUUAGACAAAGGACUUUGAUUUCUAUUUGUUAUGUAAGUCUAACCCCUGUUAUGUUACAGACCAUUAGUCUACACAGUUUUGAUAAUCCUACUUCUUUCUUUACAAGUAAAAGAAGGGUGAUGGAAAAUGGAAAUAUAGUACUCCAUCAGUACCUGUCCUGCUACUUUAAAAAAUCCUAAGCUCAAGAUCAACUGAUAAUUUGCAGGACAGGUACUGAUGGAGUACUAAUG